UACAGAGGUCUCAAGCGUUGUUCGGAUUCAUUGGGCGUAAAGGGUGCGUAGGCGGCGCGGUAAGUCGGGUGUGAAAUUUCGAGGCUUAACUUCGAAACUGCAUUCGAUACUGCCGUGCUCGAGGACUGGAGAGGAGACUGGAAUUUACGGUGUAGCGGUGAAAUGCGUAGAUAUCGUAAGGAAGACCAGUGGCGAAGGCGGGUCUCUGGACAGUUCCUGACGCUGAGGCACGAAGGUCAGGGGAGCAAACGGGG
rnacentral:rRNA from 1 species